UGGGGAAUUUUGGACAAUGGGCGAAAGCCUGAUCCAGCAAUGCCGCGUGUGUGAAGAAGGCCUUCGGGUUGUAAAGCACUUUUGUCCGGAAAGAAAUCCUUGGCUCUAAUACAGUCGGGGGAUGACGGUACCGGAAGAAUAAGCACCGGCUAACUACGUGCCAGCAGCCGCGGUAAUACGUAGGGUGCAAGCGUUAAUCGGAAUUACUGGGCGUAAAGCGUGCGCAGGCGGUUUGCUAAGACCGAUGUGAAAUCCCCGGGCUCAACCUGGGAACUGCAUUGGUGACUGGCAGGCUAGAGUAUGGCAGAGGGGGGUAGAAUUCCACGUGUAGCAGUGAAAUGCGUAGAGAUGUGGAGGAAUACCGAUGGCGAAGGCAGCCCCCUGGGCCAAUACUGACGCUCAUGCACGAAAGCGUGGGGAGCAAACNGGAUUAGAUACCCUGGUAGUCCACGCCCUAAACGAUGUCAACUAGUUGUUGGGGAUUCAUUUCCUUAGUAACGUAGCUAACGCGUGAAGUUGACCGCCUGGGGAGUACGGUCGCAAGAUUAAAACUCAAAUGAAUUGACGGGGUCAUAGCUGUUUCCU
rnacentral:rRNA from 1 species